rnacentral:rRNA from 1 species
ACGAUUUAGCAUUUGAGCUUGCUUGAAUGCUGGAUAGUGGCGGACGGGUGAGUAACGCGUGAGCAACCUGCCUUUUUGAGGGGGAUAACACCGGGAAACCGGAGCUAAUACCGCAUAAAAUAUUGAAAUCGCAUGGUAUCGAUAUCAAAGGACCCCUCCGCAAAAAGAUGGACUCGCGUCCGAUUAGCUAGUUGGAGGGGUAACGGCCCACCAAGGCGACGAUCGGUAGCCGGACUGAGAGGUUGAACGGCCACAUUGGGACUGAGACACGGCCCACACUCCUACGGGAGGUUUUUGUGGGGGAUAUUGCACAAUGGGGGAAACCCUGAUGCAGCAACGCCGCGUGAGGGAAGAAGGUUUUCGGAUUGUAAACCUCUGUCCUAGGUGAAGAUAAUGACGGUAACCUGGGAGGAAGCUCCGGCUAACUACGUGCCAGCAGCCGCGGUAAUACGUAGGGAGCGAGCGUUGUCCGGAAUUACUGGGUGUAAAGGGUGCGUAGGCGGCCUUGUGGGUCAGGCGUGAAAAUACAUAGGGCUUAACCCAUGGAAUUGCGCUGAAAAAUAUAAGGCUUGAGUGAAGUAGAGGCAGGUGGAUUUCCCGGGAGUAGCCGGUGAAAUGCGUAGAGAUCGGGAGGAACACCAGUGGCGGAAGGCGGCCUGCUGGGCUUUAAACUGACGCUGAGGCACGAAAGCAUGGGUAGCAAACAGGAUUAGAUACCCUGAUAGUCCAUGCCGUAAACGAUGAUUACUAGGUGUGGGUGGACUGACCCCAUCCGUGCCGGAGUUAACACAAUAAGUAAUCCACCUGGGAAGUACGACCGCAAGGUUGAAACUCAAAGGAAUUGACGGGGGCCCGCACAAGCAGUGGAGUAUGUGGUUUAAUUCGAAGAUACGCGAAGAACCUUACCAGGUCUUGACAUCCGACUAACGAAGUAGAGAUACAUUAGGUGCCCUUCGGGGAAA